rnacentral:rRNA from 1 species
AUUGAACGCUGGCGGCAGGCCUAACACAUGCAAGUCGAGCGGAUGAAGGGAGCUUGCUCCUGGAUUCAGCGGCGGACGGGUGAGUAAUGCCUAGGAAACUGCCUGGUAGUGGGGGAUAACGUCCGGAAACGGGCGCUAAUACCGCAUACGUCCUGAGGGAGAAAGUGGGGGAUCUUCGGACCUCACGCUAUCAGAUGAGCCUAGGUCGGAUUAGCUAGUUGGUGGGGUAAAGGCCUACCAAGGCGACGAUCCGUAACUGGUCUGAGAGGAUGAUCAGUCACACUGGAACUGAGACACGGUCCAGACUCCUACGGGAGGCAGCAGUGGGGAAUAUUGGACAAUGGGCGAAAGCCUGAUCCAGCCCUGCCGCGUGUGUGAAGAAGGUCUUCGGAUUGUAAAGCACUUUAAGUUGGGAGGAAGGGCAGUAAGUUAAUACCUUGCUGUUUUGACGUUACCAACAGAAUAAGCACCGGCUAACUUCGUG